UACGGGGGGGGCAAGCGUUGUUCGGAAUUACUGGGCGGAAAGGGCGUGUAGGCGGCCAACUAAGUCCGACGUGAAAUCCCCAGGCUUAACCUGGGAACUGCGUGUGAUACUGGCGGGCUUGAAUUCGGGAGAGGGAUGUGGAAUUCCAGGUGUAGCGGUGAAAUGCGUAGAUAUCUGGAGGAACACCGGUGGCGAAGGCGGCAUCCUGGACCGAGAUUGACGCUGAGGCGCGAAAGCUAGGGUAGCAAACGGG
rnacentral:rRNA from 1 species